CUGGCUCAGGACGAACGCUGGCGGCGUGCCUAACACAUGCAAGUCGAGCGGAGGGGAAAGGAGCUUGCUUCUUGAACCUCAGCGGCGGACGGGUGAGUAACACGUGGGUAACCUGCCCUUGAGAGGGGGAUAACAGGUCGAAAGGCCUGCUAAUACCGCAUAACGCUAAGAAGCUGCAUGGCGUCUUAGCCAAAGGUUAAUUCCGCUCAAGGAUG
rnacentral:rRNA from 1 species